rnacentral:rRNA from 1 species
GACGAACGCUGGCGGCGUGCUUAACACAUGCAAGUCGAACGGAAAGGCCCUGCUUUUGUGGGGUGCUCGAGUGGCGAACGGGUGAGUAACACGUGAGUAACCUGCCCUUGACUUUGGGAUAACUUCAGGAAACUGGGGCUAAUACCGGAUAGGAGCUCCUGCUGCAUGGUGGGGGUUGGAAAGUUUCGGCGGUUGGGGAUGGACUCGCGGCUUAUCAGCUUGUUGGUGGGGUAGUGGCUUACCAAGGCUUUGACGGGUAGCCGGCCUGAGAGGGUGACCGGCCACAUUGGGACUGAGAUACGGCCCAGACUCCUACGGGAGGCAGCAGUGGGGAAUAUUGCACAAUGGGCGGAAGCCUGAUGCAGCAACGCCGCGUGCGGGAUGACGGCCUUCGGGUUGUAAACCGCUUUCGCCUGUGACGAAGCGUGAGUGACGGUAAUGGGUAAAGAAGCACCGGCUAACUACGUGCCAGCAGCCGCGGUGAUACGUANGGUGCGAGCGUUGUCCCGAUUUAUUGGGGCGUAAGGGCUCGUAGGUGGUUGAUCGCGUCGGAAGUGUAAUCUUGGGGCUUAACCCUGAGCGUGCUUUCGAUACGGGUUGACUUGAGGAAGGUAGGGGAGAAUGGAAUUCCUGGUGGAGCGGUGGAAUGCGCAGAUAUCAGGAGGAACACCAGUGGCGAAGGCGGUUCUCUGGGCCUUUCCUGACGCUGAGGAGCGAAAGCGUGGGGAGCGAACAGGCUUAGAUACCCUGGUAGUCCACGCUGUAAACGGUGGGUACUAGGUGUGGGGUCCAUUCCACGGGUUCCGUGCCGUAGCUAACGCUUUAAGUACCCCGCCUGGGGAGUACGGCCGCAAGGCUAAAACUCAAAGGAAUUGACGGGGCCCCGCACAAGCGGCGGAGCAUGCGGAUUAAUUCGAUGCAACGCGUAGAACCUUACCUGGGUUUGACAUGGAUCGGGAGUGCUCAGAGAUGGGUGUGCCUCUUUUGGGGUCGGUUCACAGGUGGUGCAUGGCUGUCGUCAGCUCGUGUCGUGAGAUGUUGGGUUAAGUCCCGCAACGAGCGCAACCCUUGUUCACUGUUGCCAGCACGUUAUGGUGGGGACUCAGUGGAGACCGCCGGGGUCAACUCGGAGGAAGGUGGGGAUGACGUCAAGUCAUCAUGCCCCUUAUGUCCAGGGCUUCACGCAUGCUACAAUGGCUGGUACAGAGAGUGGCGAGCCUGUGAGGGUGAGCGAAUCUCGGAAAGCCGGUCUCAGUUCGGAUUGGGGUCUGCAACUCGACCUCAUGAAGUCGGAGUCGCUAGUAAUCGCAGAUCAGCAACGCUGCGGUGAAUACGUUCCCGGG